CCAUUUGUUUUGUACCCAUUUGUUUUGUAUCCAUUUUUUUUUUUGUGUAUAUAUGUUGUUUACAUUUAUAUGUCUUUUUUUUUUUUUUUUUUUUUUUUUUUUUUUUUUUUUUUUUUUUUUUUGCAGAAGCUGUAAAUACUUUGUUCUCUGCCGACUCUUUUUUUGUUGAUCAUGUAGAAAAUUUAAAAUUAAAGUAAGAACAUAAAAAAAAAAUGAACAGUUAAAACGGUUAUAUGUGUACUUGUUUGUUUAAACAUAUUUUAUUUUGGUUUGAUAUCAUUUUUUAUUUUUACAGAUUAACUGAACGUGACCAAAAAUUGCAGUUUGAAAAUGAACGAUUAAAAAAAUUAGCACUUGAAGCAAAAGUUGAAGAAUAUGAUGACAAAUUUGAAAAGAAUAAAGAAAAGAAUAAUGAAAUGGAUGCGACCAUAAAUAAGCUCAAACAAGACAUCGAGAAGUUUAAUGAAAAGAUACAAAACUACGACAACUACGUGAAAAAUAAGAGAAAAGAAAUAGACAUAAAUUUUCCUGAAAAUCUCGAAUGCAAAGAAAGGAUCAAAUUAUUAGAAGACAACAUAAAGGCCGUCGAAAGAAAUAUGAAAACUACUCAAUUGUCGCCAUUAAAAAUUAUAGAAAAAACAGAAAAUUAUAUUAUUUUAGAAUUUAAGACAAUACGUAAUGUCACACAGUUCAAAGUUAACAACUACCAAACUAAAAAUGCGGAAGUUGAAAUUAACCCAUGUGACCAAAAUAUGUUAUCAUAUAUAAAUGAAAAUAUCCAAAAGUGUAAAGACUUUUCAGAAAUCACAUAUUUAAUUAAAGAGGUAUGUCACGUAUGAACAUACAUAUGAACAUACAUACAUAUAUAUAUAUAUAUAUAUGUGCUUAUUUUAUCGUUGAAUUUGUAUUUUCAUAUCAUGAUGCAGCCAUGUUAAUUAUGUUGUUUAUAUAUGUUGUUUCAUUACAUCCACUUUUUUUUUUUUUUUUUUUUUUUUUUUUUUUUCUUAGGCUAUUUAUNNNNNNNNNNNNNNNNNNNNNNNNNNNNNNNNNNNNNNNNNNNNNNNNNNNNNNNNNNNNNNNNNNNNNNNNNNNNNNNNNNNNNNNNNNNNNNNNNNNNAUAUAUAUAUAUAUAUGUGCUUAUUUUAUCGUUGAAUUUGUAUUUUCAUAUCAUGAUGCAGCCAUGUUAAUUAUGUUGUUUAUAUAUGUUGUUUCAUUACAUCCACUUUUUUUUUUUUUUUUUUUUUUUUUUUUUUUUUUUCUUAGGCUAUUUAUUUGAAUAAUUUAGAGAUCUAAUAUUUUAAUUUAUUUUUCAAAUAUUAUGUUUGAUAUUUUCUAUUUUUUUCUUUUUUUUUUUUGGUAUAUUUAUUCAGUAUAAAAAUGCAUUUAUUUAUAGCUGCAGUUUCUGCGUAUUGUCAAAUGCAUUAAAGUGCGCAUUGUUUCUGUACAAUUUAAAAAUCACUUGUUUAUAUUUGUUAUUUUAGUUUACAUAUAUAUAUAUAUAUAUAACACAUUUUGCAUACGUUUAUUUUUAACUCUUUAGAUAAUUUUUUUUUUAUUUUUUUCAAUGUAACCUUUAAAAAUAGAAAACAAUAUACAAAAUAUAAAUCCAGUUAUUUAAAAAAAAAAAAAAAAAAAAAAAAAAAAAAAAGGUUAAAAAUUUAUGUUAUAUAUAUGUGCAUAUAUGUAUAUAUGUAUGCAUACAUGCAUGCAUGUAGAUCGUAUCAUUUUAAAAUUUUUUUUUUUUUUUACAUAAAAAAUGAUAACAUGUUAGUAAGGUUACAAAGAUCAAAACUAUAGCCAUCUCAAUUCUUCUUAACAAUAAUAUUCUUACAUAUUACUGUGUUAUAAUUUAUACAACUAUGUUUUCGAAAUGGAAUCUACAGUGUGUUCUAGCAUUAAUUUUUAUUUAUCGUGCGGAUGUUAUGUAUGUAUAUAUAUGUGUAGGAAAACGAAGGUAAUAGCAAAAAAAAAGUAACAUUUUAAUUAACGAAAUGAGCAGAAAAAUUUAGUAACCAUGCAAUGCUACAUUGGUUUACAUAAAAAAGGUAUCUUAUUUUUAGUGUGAUAUGUAUAUGUGACUUAAAUGUUUUUUUGUAUACAUACAUACAUAUAUAUAUAUGCGCGUAUAAAUACUAUUAUAAAAUUUAUAUACACGUGUGUAUAUAAUAUUUAUACAAACGUAUUAAAAAAAAAAAAAAAAAAAAAAAAAACGCUAAGAAAAAUGUUAACGAAAAUGUAAAUUACUUAUAUUUUUCUUUUACUUAUUAAACAUAAACUUGUUCAUAAAUUAGAUGAGUUAUACGAGCAUAAAUACUUACAUAUAUGACACAUUUACUCGUUUGGUCUCAUACGAGUAAGCAAUUACAAAUGACUAUAUUUUCUAGACAAUAAGUUAAGAUUUAAAUAGUACAUAUUUUAAAAAGUGUGAAUAUUUGAUAAAAAAAUAAAAAUAAAAAAAAUAGUACUAAAAAAUAAUAA
ensembl:lncRNA